UACGGAGGGAGCUAGCGUUGUUCGGAAUUACUGGGCGUAAAGCGCGCGUAGGCGGCUUUGUAAGUUAGAGGUGAAAGCCUGGAGCUCAACUCCAGAAUUGCCUUUAAGACUGCAUCGCUUGAAUCCAGGAGAGGUGAGUGGAAUUCCGAGUGUAGAGGUGAAAUUCGUAGAUAUUCGGAAGAACACCAGUGGCGAAGGCGGCUCACUGGACUGGUAUUGACGCUGAGGUGCGAAAGCGUGGGGAGCAAACAGGAUUAGAUACCCGCGUAGUCC
rnacentral:rRNA from 1 species